UACAGAGGGUGCGAGCGUUGUUCGGAAUUAUUGGGCGUAAAGCGCAUGUAGGCGGCUUGUUAAGUCACGUGUGAAAGCCCCAGGCUCAACCUGGGAAGUGCGCGUGGAACUGGCGAGCUUGAAUCCUGGAGAGGGUGGCGGAAUUCCCGGUGUAGAGGUGAAAUUCGUAGAUAUCGGGAGGAACACCAGAGGCGAAGGCGGCCACCUGGACAGAGAUUGACGCUGAGACGCGAAAGCGUGGGGAGCAAACAGG
rnacentral:rRNA from 1 species